GACGAACGCUGGCGGCGUGCUUAACACAUGCAAGUCGAACGGCAAGGCCCUGCUUUUGUGGGGUGCUCGAGUGGCGAACGGGUGCGUAACACGUGAGUAACCUGCCCUUGACUUUGGGAUAACUUCAGGUAACUGGGGCUAAUACCGGAUAGGAGCUCCUGCUGCAGGGAGGGGGGUGGAAAGUUUCGGCGGUUGGGGAUGGACUCGCGGCUUAUCAGCUUGUUGGUGGGGUAGUGGCUUACCAAGGCUUUGACGGGUAGCCGGCCUGGGAGGGUGACCGCGCACCAGGGGCCUGCGGUACGGCGCAGUCUCCUACGGUGGGCAGAAGUGGGGAAUAUUGUCCAAUGGGCGGAAGCGUGAUGCAGAAACGUCGCGUGCGUGAUGACGGCCUUUGGGUUGUAAACCGCUGUCGCCUGUGACGAAGCGUGAGUGACGGUAAUGAAUAAAUAAGCACCGGCUAACUACGUG
rnacentral:rRNA from 1 species